AUUGAACGCUGGCGGAAUGCUUUACACAUGCAAGUCGAACGGCAGCACGGGAGCUUGCUCCUGGUGGCGAGUGGCGAACGGGUGAGUAAUAUAUCGGAACGUACCCCGUCGUGGGGGGAUAACUCUCCGAAAGGAGUGCUAAUACCGCAUACGACCUGAGGGUGAAAGCGGGGGACCUGCAAGGGCCUCGCGCGAUGGGAGCGGCCGAUAUCGGAUUAGCUAGUUGGUGAGGUAAAGGCUCACCAAGGCGACGAUCCGUAGCGGGUCUGAGAGGACGACCCGCCACACUGGAACUGAGACACGGUCCAGACUCCUACGGGAGGCAGCAGUGGGGAAUUUUGGACAAUGGGGGAAACCCUGAUCCAGCCAUUCCGCGUGAGUGAAGAAGGCCUCGG
rnacentral:rRNA from 1 species